rnacentral:rRNA from 1 species
GAUGAACGCUGGCUACAGGCUUAACACAUGCAAGUCGAGGGGAAACGACAGGGAAGCUUGCUUCCUUGGGCGUCGACCGGCGCACGGGUGAGUAACGCGUAUCCAACCUGCCUCUGACUGAGGGAUAACCCGUCGAAAGUCGGCCUAAUACCUCAUGGCAUCGUCUGCGGGCAUCCAACGACGAUUAAAGAUUUCAUCGGUCAGGGAUGGGGAUGCGUCUGAUUAGCUUGUUGGCGGGGUAACGGCCCACCAAGGCUACGAUCAGUAGGGGUUCUGAGAGGAAGGUCCCCCACAUUGGAACUGAGACACGGUCCAAACUCCUACGGGAGGCAGCAGUGAGGAAUAUUGGUCAAUGGGCGAGAGCCUGAACCAGCCAAGUAGCGUGCAGGAUGACGGCCCUAUGGGUUGUAAACUGCUUUUAUGCGGGGAUAAAGUGAGGGACGUGUCCUUCAUUGCAGGUACCGCAUGAAUAAGGACCGGCUAAUUCCGUGCCAGCAGCCGCGGUAAUACGGAAGGUCCUGGCGUUAUCCGGAUUUAUUGGGUUUAAAGGGAGCGUAGGCCGUGGAUUAAGCGUGUUGUGAAAUGCAGGUGCUCAACGUCUGCACUGCAGCGCGAACUGGUCCACUUGAGUGUGCGCAACGCAGGCGGAAUUCGUCGUGUAGCGGUGAAAUGCUUAGAUAUGACGAAGAACUCCGAUUGCGAAGGCAGCUUGCGGGAGCACAACUGACGCUGAAGCUCGAAAGUGCGGGUAUCGAACAGG